rnacentral:rRNA from 1 species
UACGUAGGGUGCGAGCGUUAAUCGGAAUUACUGGGCGUAAAGCGUGCGCAGGCGGUUUUUUAAGGCAGAUGUGAAAUCCCCGGGCUUAACCUGGGAAUGGCAUUUGGGACUGCAAGGCUGGAGUGCGGCAGAGGAGACUGGAAUUCCUGGUGUAGCAGUGAAAUGCGUAGAUAUCAGGAGGAAUACCGAUGGCGAAGGCAGGUCUCUGGGCUGACACUGACGCUCAUGCACGAAAGCGUGGGGAGCAAACAGG